UACGUAGGGUGCAAGCGUUUAUCCGGAAUUAUUGGGCGUAAAGAGCUCGUAGGCGGUUUGUCGCGUCUGCUGUGAAAACUGGAGGCUCAACCUCCAGCCUGCAGUGGGUACGGGCAAACUAAGAGUGCGGGUAGGGGAGAUUGGAAUUCCUGGUGUAGCGGUGGAAUGCGCAGAUAUCAGGAGGAACACCAUGGCGAAGGCAGAUCUCUGGGCCGUAACUGACGCUGGAGGAGCGAAAGCAUGGGGAGCGAACAGG
rnacentral:rRNA from 1 species